UAUUAACAGAUUUUACUACUUUUAAAUCUAUGGUUUUUAUUUUAUUUUAUUUUUUAACAUAUUUAUUGGAGUAUAAUUGCUUUACACUGGUGUGUUAAUUUCUGCUGUAUAACAAAGUGAAUCAGCUAUACAUAUACAUACAUCCCCAUAUCUCCUCCCUCUUGCGUCUCCCUCCCACCCUCCCUAUCCCACCCCUCUAGGUGGUCACAGAGCACGAGCUGAUCUCCCUGUGCUAUGCGGCUGCUUCCUACUAGCUAUCUGUUUUACAUUUGGUAGUGUAUAUAUGUCCAUGCCACUCUCUCACUUCAUCCCAGCUUACCCUUCCGCCCUCCCAUGUCUUCAAGUCCAUUCUCUGUCUGCGUCUUUAUUCCUUUAUUCCUGUCCUGCCCCGAGGUUCUUCAGAACUUUUUUUUUUUUAGAUUCCAUGUGUAUGUGUUAGCAUAUGGUAUUUGUUUUCUCUUUCUGACUUACUUCACUCUGUAUGACAGUCUCUAGGUCCAUCCACCUUGCUACAAAUAACUCAAUUUUGUAAAAUUAUGUUUUUUAAAUAUUUCAUUUUAUUCUACUUAUCAAGUUUAUGUCAAUUAAUCUGAGGUACAUUUUACAACAUCAAGAAAGAAAAAUGUUAAUUCUCCUGAAAGCAAUAUUCUGGUAAGAGUAUUAUAUAAAUUUAUUUGAAUGAGUUUUUAACCUCCAUUAUUUCUUUUAAUUAAAGAUACAAUAUCAUUAAAGCAAACCCUCCUACCCUGUUGAUGGGAAUGUAAUUGGUAAUGGCCACAAUAGAGAACAGUAUGGAGGUUCCUUAAAAUGUAAAAUUAGGGGCUUCCCUGGUGGUGCAGUGGUUGAGAGUCUGCCUGCCGAUGCAGGGGACACGGGUUCGUGCCCCGGUCUGGGAAGAUCCCACAUGCCGCGGACAAGCUGGGCCCAUGACCAUGGCCGCUGAGCCUGUGCGUCUGGAGCCUGUGCUCCGCAAUGGGAGAGGCCGCAACAGUGAGAGGCCCGUGUAACGCAAAAAAAAAAAAAAAAAAGUAAAAUUAGAACUGCCAUAUGAUCUAGCAAUCCCACUCCUGAUCAUAUGUUUGGAAAACUCUAAUUGGAAAAGAUACGUGCACCCCAACAUACAUGGCAGCACUGUUUACAAUAGUGCAUACAUGGAAGUGACCUAAAUGUUUAUCAACAGAUGAAUGGAUAUAGAAGAUGACAUAUACAUACAUAUAUCACACACACACACACACACACACACACACACACACACACACAAAAUGGAAUAUUACUCAGCCAUAAAAAAGAAUGAAAUCAUGCCAUUUGUAGCAAUAUGGAUGGACCUGGAGAUGAUCACACUAAGUCAAGUAAGUCAGAGAAAGACAAAUAUCCUAGGAUAUCACUUAUAUGUGGAAUUGAAAACAGUGAUACAAAUGAACUCUUUAACAAAACAGACAUAGAUUCACAGACAUCAAAAACAAACUUAUGGUUACCAAAGGGGAAAGGGGAAGGCGUAUAAAUUAGGAGUUUGGGAUUAAAAUAUAUACACUACUAUAUAUAAAAAAAAGAACAAGGGCCUACUGUAUAGCACAGGAAACCAUAUUCAAUAUCUUCUAAUAAAUAGAAAAGAGUCUGAAAAGGUGUGUGUGUAUAUGUAUACACAUAUUUUUUUAUAUAUAUAUAUAUACACACACACACACACAUAUAUAACUGAAUCACUUUGCUGUACACCUGAAACUAACAGAACAUUGUAAAUCAACUAUAGUUUAAAAACUAUAGUAUCGGGACUUCCCUGGUGGUGCAGUGGUUAAGAAUCUGCCUGCCAAUGCAGGGGACAUGGGUUCGAGCCCUGGUCUGGGAAGAUCCCACAUGCUGCGGAGCAACUAAGCUCGCAUGCCACAACUACUGAGCCUGUGCCAUAGAGCCCGCAAGCCACAACUACUGAAGCCAGAGUGCCUAGAGCCCAUGCGUAGGCAACAAGAGAAGGCACUGCAAUGAGAAGCCCGCGCACAACAAUGAAGAGUAGCCCCUGCUUGCCGCAACUAGAGAAAGCUUGCGUGCAGCAACGAAAACCCAACGUAGCCAAAAAUAAAUAAAUUUAUAAAAAAAAAGUCGACAAACUUAUGGAUUCCCCACUCCAAUAUUAUCUUGUUUACAUUUUUCUGUCAUUAUCCACAUACACGAAUAUUCUCCUUGUGCAAUUUUCUUAUUGAAGUAUAGUUGAUUUACAACAUUGUGUUAAUUUCUGCUGUACAGCAAAGUGAUUCAGUUAUACCUAUAUGUAUACCAUAAAUGAACAUUCCUUUAAAUAAUUGUGGUAGAUAUUUAAAUGCCAUACUAGAAUCUAUUUCAUUUUCCUUUAAAUAGUUCAUAUAUUUGCAGAAGUUAGCUAAUCAUUUUUAAAAAUUGUAUAUUGUAUUUCAUCAAGUUGACUUGUAACGUAUUACUUCAACAGAAUAGACUUAUAUCCUGAGUUUAUAUCAGAGUUUUCAUUCACACAACAUGCACAUCUGGAAAAGGUGGUGUCCCCAAAAUGUAAUUAGCUUCUAUAUUUCACAGUAGGCUUUUUGGCAGGCUAAUUCACCCUAGGCUAAUUUGACGUGAUGUUAGAGACCUUACCAUGAUCUGGUAAGAUCCACUUUGGGUGACACAAUAAUCACAUCCCACUGUGGGAUGAGGUUGCCCUCCUGUCCCCCAGACCAUGUGAUCACUCUCCAUAGCAUUCUCAGCUUCAGGGACACCAGCCAGCCAAGUCUCUCUUCUCAGGCCUGAGCUGGAGAUCUGGGGAUACACUUCUGGGGAAGCCCCUUCUCUCAUUUCUCUUUCAAAACCUUUGAAAAUGUUCUCUUCAUUCUCCUUCCAUUUGAGUAUUCUCUGUCAUCUUUCUCACGUAUUAUCUUACUUUCUAUUUUUCUCAUUGUUCUCUUUGUUUAACCCAUGUCAAUUUUUAUUCUCUCACUACCUUUUCUUAACCAUCCUUCUCUUUUCCUACUAAGACCAUUGCAUUCUUUUUAUUUCUUUUCCUGUUUUCUAAAGCCAUCCUACUCUUGAAACUCUGUAAAUUGUUCCACCUUUGCUCUCUGACCUCUAUUUAUUCUAGUUGUCAUAGAUGCUUUCUGAGGGGUUAUAUAGCAAUUUGGUCAACGUUGCUGUCGUCAGAAUCCCCAGGUUCAACCAGCUCUGCCUCCACCCACGUGCCUGACCGUGGUGAGGGCUUUUGCCUCUCCUCCCAAAGACCGGCCUCUAGAGGCCGAAAUCACCCGAUGCAGGUCAACUGCCUGAGCAGCACCAGCCAACAGCAAAAGUGGAGGGGUGGCUAUAUUGUCUUUGCUUGACAUUGAUUCUUUAUUGCUCAGCUCCUGUCCUGUCCCCCCUCCUCUGUCCUUCCCGAGCCUGCCCCUCUCUCUGCCCGUAUCCUUACCAUCCAUUGCUUUCUUUCCUUACGUUGUCCUAGGCUCUGUACUCACUUUGCUCUGUUCCCAUUUCCAGCUUUUCCUAUGCUUAGAAAUUAUGGAGGUUCGGUUUAAUGCGCCUGUUCUCACUUCUUGUCUCAUACGUUAAUGUCAUCAGGUCUACUUAAUGCAUCACUGCAGUGCCAGCUGCUGCACAUCCCUCUCUUUUCCUUGCCCUGUUUCCCAUCCAUGUGUGCCUGCUUAUCAGUAAACUGGCUGAAUUUCCUUACAAAGGCCUCCUCCUGUCUUGUCUUUUUGCCUCCGUGACUUUACACACCCAUUUCCUCUCACAUUCCUUUUCUGAUGCUGUUCUAUUAUUUUUGUCUCCUCUCGCUUCCCUCACCUUAGCAUAUUUUCUAUCACAAAAUUCCUUCCCCCACCUCUAAUUCUUUGAAUCAACUCUUCCUUCUUCUUAUUCAUUUACUCCUGCGUUGCUUUUAACCUUAGCUACAGCUGCCUCACUUUGUGUCUCAUUUCAUUUUAACUGUGAAAAAAAUCUCUUCUUCUUGUAUUUCCUUUUUUACUCUCUCCUCACACAUUUCCAUCAAAUUCGCUUCUUUAGCUCUCUCUCCACUCCUGACACGCCCUCUUCUACACUUUCCCCUCUUUGGUGCUCUUUUUCUAAUAUCUGACUUCACACUCUCACCCUCACUAUGACUCUUCUGCACUGUGCUGGUUCCAGUUAUCCCUCCAUGAUUUCACUUACUGAUAUAGUAAGAAUUUAUUGGAUCAAGAUAGCAGAAUAGAAGAACACAGGGCUUACCUCUCCCCACAAAGACAUCAAAAAUACACCUACAUGUGGAACAAUUCUCACAGAAUACCUACAGAACACUGGCAGAAGAUCUCAUACAAUCAAAGCUGCAAGAAAGAUCACCAUGUAACCGAGUCAGAAAUAGAAGUAAGAUGAAGCAGCAGAGAAACCACUCCCAAUUAAAAGAACAAGAAAAAUCCCCUGAAAGAACAAUGAAACAGAUUCCUCCAGUCUAUUAGACCUCAAGUUCAAAAGGGAGGCAAUAAAAAUGCUGAAGGAAUUAAGAAAGGCUAUCAAUAGAAAUGCAGUUCCUAUAAUAGGAAGGUAGAAACUGUAAAAAGGAGCCAAUCAAAAUUAGACAACUCAGUUGCCUACAUGAAAA